rnacentral:rRNA from 1 species
UACAGAGGGGGCAAGCGUUGUUCGGAAUUACUGGGCGUAAAGGGCGCGUAGGCGGCCUGCUAAGUCGAACGUGAAAUCCCCGAGCUCAACUCGGGAACUGCGUCCGAUACUGGCAAGCUUGAAUCCGGGAGAGGGAUGCGGAAUUCCAGGUGUAGCGGUGAAAUGCGUAGAUAUCUGGAGGAACACCGGUGGCGAAGGCGGCAUCCUGGACCGGCAUUGACGCUGAGGCGCGAAAGCCAGGGGAGCAAACGGG